rnacentral:tRNA from 1 species
GGGUCCGUAGCAUAGUCCGGCUGGUGCGCUCGACUGAUAAUCGAGUGGUCGGGCGUUCAAAUCGCCCCGGACCCA